rnacentral:rRNA from 1 species
CGUUAAAACACUGGUUCCAGUAAGAUCACCUAAGUUAAGCAAUGUCGAGUCUGGUCAGUAACUAGAUGGGUGACUGCUUGGGAAUACCAAGUGCUGUAA